rnacentral:rRNA from 1 species
UGGGGAAUCUUCCGCAAUGGACGAAAGUCUGACGGAGCAACGCCGCGUGAGUGAAGAAGGUUUUCGGAUCGUAAAACUCUGUCUUUUGGGGCGAACGUGAGUAUGGUGAACAAUCAUAGUCAGUGACGGUACCAAAGGAGGAAGCCACGGCUAACUACGUGCCAGCAGCCGCGGUAAUACGUAGGUGGCAAGCGUUGUCCGGAAUUAUUGGGCGUAAAGAGCGCGUAGGCGGGAUAGUCAGUCUGUUGUAAAAGUGCGGGGCUCAACCCCGUGAUGGCAAUGGAAACAGCUAUUCUUGAGUGCAGGAGAGGAAAGUGGAAUUCCCAGUGUAGCGGUGAAAUGCGUAGAUAUUGGGAGGAACACCAGUGGCGAAGGCGACUUUCUGGACUGUGUCUGACGCUGAGGCGCGAAAGCCAGGGGAGCGAACGGGAUUAGAUACCCCGGUAGUCCUGGCCGUAAACGAUGGGUACUAGGUGUGGGAGGUAUCGACCCCUUCCGUGCCGGAGUUAACGCAAUAAGUACCCCGCCUGGGGAGUACGGUCGCAAGACUGAAACUCAAAGGAAUUGACGGGGUCAUAGCUGUUUCCUG